AAUGAUUAAAUAUAUUUUCAUUGCAUUACCUAUUACAAUGGUUGUGGAAAAUAGUUCACAAGAUAGAUGGGGAAAGAUAAGUAAAGCGAAUGACAUGAGCCAGAUUAAAGAUUCCUUAGAUGCACCAUCUGAUAUGCAAUCAUUUAGCCAUUGGAGAGCGAACGAGGGAGAUGAAGUUCCAGAACCAGCUGAUGAUGAUAAUGGUGAUUUUAUGGCACAUCUAAAACAAAUACAACGCAUGAAAAGAUCUCCACGAUCCAACUAAUCAAGUCAAAAGAGAGAUGACAUAGAAUGGGAACAGCAUUAAUGUAGUUUUGUUUAUUUCUCGUCGCAAUAUUAUAUAAUAAAGCAUUUGAACAUUUGAA